GUUCUACCAUUAAUCUGCUCUCGAUAUCGAGCCUGGACUCCUGUAUAAAUCUUGGGUAGAUCUUCAGAUGGCACCGGCGAAAUCAUACCCAUUUGAAAGGUCUGUAUUUGAAGCAAGAAGACUUUCGACAGUACAAGGGUGAAAAGAGAGCCCAUACCCAUUUGAGCUGUGUAUGACUUGGCUUUGCUGGGAUUGGAUGUUUACAACUUAGAGAAAGGGGAAGGUUUGGAAAGGCAGAACCGCACUCGCUCAUAUCAGACGGCAAUUGCUAGAUAAAAGCUUUCGAAACACAGAUGAUUGGUGGGUAAUGACGGGUGUCAUUCGAUAAAGCUUUGGAGAUGCGCCCGAUUGCAGAUAAUGCUUUCUACUACGAAUGUAAGGACCUUGUUUAGUAUCAUGUUUAAUGAUCAAUUGCUGUCCACGAGACGGUUUUGCACCGGGCACUCUGGUUUGAGAUUAAUCUGGUGAAUUGCAAAGACAAACCCCACAGCUGCAUCAUAAAUUAGCUAACAGUGAACACUGUAGAAGGGGAGAUGAUUUCUAAAGAUGGAAGGGUCAAUAUCAGGUGAAAAGGCCUUGAAAACAUUAACUAAGAAUGAUAUCCUGACUGAGAACAAGAGAUCCUGUGAUAAGUACCUUGAAGUUGCUCUUUCUUAAGUCGAAACCCAACAGGAUCACAGCUUCCUCAAUCUUCGCAAUCAUCUCGCCAGCUGAGCAGCUUGAUGUGAAUAUGGAUUCUCUUUUGACGAGUCCCUGAACAAUGGAUGAGGUUGGCUAUAUAAAGUUUUAGGCUACAAACAAAUCCGGCAUGAUAAAAUGUCCGAGUUAUUCUUUCUCAAUAUACUACUGAGAAAGACUGCAAAAAUGAACGGAGACAAGUCUUUUCGGUGUUCGUCCUACUGAAAGCAACUUAUAAUGUAAUUUACUUCUGUUAACUACUGAUUAAGCUGAGGAGACGUAGCAUUGGCUUCUCGAAAGGGGUACCAAGGUCGAGACCCUGGGAAGUCAAGAUGAGCUCAAACAAAUUCACGAUGACCGGGGCAGCAGGCCUUUCUUCUCGCUUCUCCACAAAAAGGUUUUGAGGCGUCCUGAUACCAAGAAGGAACACAGGCACAAGCACAAGUUACAUUUUCUCGUCUUUCAGAACCACUGAAUCACUAUGUAGAUUUACUCAAACAGGGUGGAUGUAGAGAGAUGGAUCUCACUCACCCUGGUUUCACUGAAGAAACUGUCAAUAUCUUCGAGACUAACAUCGCCUUGUUUGAAAGUCGGAGGCUUGAA